rnacentral:misc_RNA from 1 species
AAGGAUCAUUAUCGUAUAUCCACGUAUAAACCAUUGUGCACUGUCACCCCUUUGGAUUAAAGAUCGCGAAAUGAAGAGAAACGUUUGACAGGCCUUCGUAAUUUGAGGCUUUAGUUUCUUCUCUAUGGCUCGGGGGCAACCCUUUGAGACUCAAGUAAUCUUAACUCAAUCCAAAGUGUAACAAUCAAAUUACUUAUCUUAAUCGAUAUUAACUAUUGAAACCCCUUUUAAAUUUUUGAACUAACGUUUUCAUACUCCAAUAAAACGGAGAUGAAAUUCUUACGAAACAAAGAACAACUCUUAGCAACGGAUAUCUUGGUUCUC